AUGGUGUUCAUUGACUUGGAGAAGACCUAUGAUAAGAUACCGCGGAAUGUCAUGUGGUGGGCCUUGGAGAAACACAAAGUCCCAGCAAAGUACAUUAUCCUCAUCAAGGACAUGUACAAUAAUGUUGUGACAAGUGUUCGAACAAGUGAUGUCGACACCGAUGACUUCCCGAUUAAGAUAGGACUGCAUCAGGGGUCAGCUUUGAGCCAUUAUCUUUUUGCAUUGGUGAUGGAUGAGGUCACAAGGGGUAUACAAGGAGAUAUCCCAUGGUGUAUGCUCUUUGCGGAUGAUGUGGUGCUAGUUGACGAUAGUCGGACGGGGGUAAAUAGGAAGUUAGAGUUAUGGAGACAAACCUUGGAAUCGAAAGGGUUUAGGCUUAGUAGAACUAAAACCGAGUACAUGAUGUGCGGUUUCAGUACUACUAGGUGUGAGGAGGAGGAGGUUAGCCUUGAUGGCCAAGUGGUACCUCGGAAGGACACCUUUCGGUAUUUGGGGUCAAUGUUGCAGGAGGAUGGGGGUAUUGAUGAAGAUGUAAACCAUCGAAUCAAAGCCGGAUGGAUGAAGUGGCGCCAAGCUUCUGGCAUUCUCUGUGACAAGAGAGUGCCACAAAAUCUAAAAGGCAAGUUCUACAGGACGGCGGUUCGACCCGCAAUGUUGUAUGGCGCGGAGUGUUGGCCGACUAAAAGGCGACAUGUUCAACAGUUAGGUGUGGCGGAGAUGCGUAUGUUGAGAUAG
rnacentral:rRNA from 1 species